rnacentral:rRNA from 1 species
UACGUAGGUGGCAAGCGUUUGUCCGGAAUUAUUGGGCGUAAAGCGCGCGCAGGCGGUCCUUUAAGUCUGAUGUGAAAGCCCCACGGCUCAACCGUGGAGGGUCAUUGGAAACUGGGGGGACUUGAGUACAGAAGAGGAAAGCGGAAUUCCACGUGUAGCGGUGAAAUGCGUAGAGAUGUGGAGGAACACCAGUGGCGAAGGCGGCUUUCUGGUCUGUAACUGACGCUGAGGCGCGAAAGCAUGGGGGAGCGAACAGG